UAAAGCAAGACACUGAAAAUGUCUAGAUGGGCAUUAUUGCCCCAUCAACA
rnacentral:tRNA from 1 species